rnacentral:lncRNA from 1 species
UGAGGGUCCAGUGUAUUUGUCCUAACUCGAGGCCAGAGACUGCACCCUUGAAUGUGACCCCUUAUCUCACAAUGGGGCGUAUCUCACAAUACGCAGGAUUGGGGCUCGGCAUAGGGAAAAGAAGGAGGAUCGUUUGUGUCUUUCAUGACUACUGGACAAAAAUUUGAAGUGAUCAAUUCCAGGGAUCUGCCAGGAAAGACAAUUCUCGAAGAGGUGCCAUCAAAGGUCUGAGGGUUGAGAGGCCAACAGGAGCUAGAGCAAAGGUACAAAGGCCUGCGUGACCACAGCCUGAUCAGGGAACUUGGAGUCCAGCAUGUUCUACAGAGAGCUGGCUUGUCUUUUUAUGCAAAGAACUUUUACAGGUAUCAGUCUAUAUCAUCAUUAUC